CAUAUUAUCAACCUUAGUUACAUAAUAGUUUUAGUUUGUUAUAUUUAUACAACAUUGUAGUUUUGAGUUCAACACGCUUUAAGGUGCGAACAUGAUUACUGUUCAUCUCCCGUUCCGGCGGCAGUCGAUCUUUCUUUAGAUCAAACUGAAGAACUCCGAAAGGAGGUGAAGCGCUUGAAGAAGCAAGUGGAAGAGCUGUCUGUCCGUCACAGUUUUUGCUUGGGGCGUUUUGCUGCAUCUGACGAUGACAUACGGUUCUUUACUAGGUUUGUGACCUACAGUCAUCUCAUGGCGUUCUGGAGACUCAUUGAGCCUGCAACCAACAGAAUGGUUCGUGUGACAAGGGCAAAAGCAGCUACAAGAAGUGGUGAAGUUGGAGCAACAGGCAAUGCAUCUGGUCAAUCCCUAAUGUCGGCUGAUGAGGUAAGGAAGACGCAGUCCAUUGCUCGUCUGAGGGUCCACGUUGAGCGUCUCAUCCGCAGGGUGAAGCAACACAAACUGUUUGAUGCUGUCAUCCCUCUUUCAAUCACAGGAAGCAUAAACCAGCUAUACACUGUUGCUUGCCUUCUUGUCAACUACCAGAAUGGGCCCUUGGUAAAAGCAUGGGCAAUGGAUUAAAGACUUUGUAUGGGAUGGAUACAUUUUGAUUG